ACGCGGAAGUUCUUUGGCGAUAGGUCACGUUUGUAAGUAUUGAUCUCGAGGGAAGGGAUUGUUGUCCCGCUGUACACUUUCGGAAGACGUUCGGUAAAGGUCCGUGCUGUUGCCUGAUGAACAAAAUACGAUCGUAUGAAAUAUCAGACCAGAUUUGUGAUUUUAGUGAGGAGUUCGUAACAAAUACAAUACAGCAUAACACAGUGUAUUUCACGAGUGCACAUCGUAAUAGUGAAAUAUGCAACUACACUUCAUAAAACUGAAAUAUGGACGUUAAAAUGGAAUAACUGCCACCAUAGCACAAGAAUGAUGCUUCAUCUUUAUAGUGAUUGGAUGUAUGUGCUGCAAUUGAAGAACACCACAUACAGCUGACCAGCAUAGGCGACACUGUGCCCCAAUUGUGUACUAGUACCAGUAUCUACCAAGUUUGAAACAUGAAGUAAAACUUGACUAAAGCAAGAUAUGCUAAGUCCAUGGCAAUACAAGGGCAAUAAAUGGGAACGUUGCUUUUAUUGAGUAGAUGAAUUUUAAUGAAUGCUAAUAUAAAAUAAUGAAGUUUAAUGUCUCUUAUACAUUGAUCAGCCAAAACAUUAUGACCACACCCAAUUGCAGCAAUGUUGGAUGCCACCUUGUGGCGCUGCAUGCAUGUGAUGUGGCAGCAAAAGUGUGUAAGCAGAGCAAACAUGGACAGGGAUCACUCUAGUGAAGAUUGGGCUGCAAAUGGGGAAAUCCACUGAGAUAAGUGACUUUGACAAAGGGCAUAUUAUUAUUACACAGAGCCCAUGAAUGACUAUGUCAACCAUGGUGAAAGGUGGUCAGAUGAUAACAUGCUACUGUUAUGAGCAUCUACAGAAAGAGGUAGAGAGAUAGUGAAACUACAACUAGGUGUUAAAUGAUUCAUGACCUGUGCAUAGAUGUCUAAUACCACCACAAACUUACCAACACCUUGUUCAAUCCCUGAUACACAGAAUCAGUGAUAUAUUUCAUUCCAGCUACGAAGAAACAAGUUAACUAGGUGUUAAAUGAUUCAUGACCUGUGCAUAGAUGUCAAAUAUGACCUGUGCAUAGAUGUCUAAUACCACCACAAACUUACCAACACCUUGUUCAAUCCCUGAUACACAGAAUCAGUGAUAUAUUUCAUUCCAGCUACGAAGAAACAAGUUAACGAACAGGUGGUCAUAAGGUUUUGGGUAAUCACUGUAUACGUAAAUGUUUCUGUUGCUUUUAAGUUUGACCUGAUUCAUUUAUUUCAUGUGAUACCUUUAACUGUUAGUGUUUUCAUAUAGCUUACCUACAAAUUUGACAACCUAGAGUAAUUAGAAUGUACAAGUAUAGAUUAUUUUUUUUUUUUUUUUUUUUUUUUUUUU